GUACGUCCCCACUCUGUCUCUCGCGCACGUCUUCAUUGUCCAUUUCGCUCCGACUCACGGCAACGUCAGGCCAGUAACGACAGAGAAUUUCGCUAAGUGUUCAGUGUUCUACUGGCUACGUAGUGGAGUGGGCGUUUUACAUUGUGUAGAAAGCGAAAAUAUUUCGAAAAUGUUUUCCAGUUCUACGCUGAGUGCCCUGUUAGGGGCGAUUCUCGUUAUCUCUUCGAUACCAAAUGCAACGUCUUACAGAAAAUAUGGGAGGACAUGCAAGGACAUCGGGUGCAUGCGGGACCAGAUCUGCGUGAUCGCCGAGGAUCCAUGCUCGAUCCACCAGCGGGAUAAUUGUGGCAGUUACCCGACUUGCGUCAAGGCUCGUCCAGGAGGUAAGAAUGCAGUUGACCUAUGCUUUAACCCUU